rnacentral:rRNA from 1 species
GCGGCGAGCGAACGCGGAUUAGCCCAAACCAAUAAAGUUUUCUUUAUUGGGGUUGCGGACAUAUCAUAACGGAGAGGUAUCGUAAUUGAAGAGGUUUGGAAAGACCCACCACAGAAGGUAAUAGUCCUGUAUGUUAAACGAGAAGACUUUAGAUAUGAUCCAGAGUACCACGGGACACGUGAAACCCUGUGGGAAGCAGGAGGGACCACCCUCCAAGGCUAAAUACUACCUAGUGACCGAUAGCGUAUAGUACCGUGAGGGAAAGGUGAAAAGAACCCCGGGAGGGGAGUGAAAUAGAACCUGAAACCCUGCACUUACAAGCUGUGGAAGCACAUUUCUUGUGUGACCGCGUACUUUUUGUAGAACGGGCCAACGAGUUACGUUAAGUAGCAAGGUUAAGCACUUAAGGUGCGGAGCCGUAGCGAAAGCGAGUUUUAACUGAGCGUUCAGUUACUUGACGUAGACCCGAAACCGGGCGACCUACCCAUGAGCAGGAUGAAGCGAAAGUAAAAUUUCGUGGAGGUCCGAACCCACGAGCGUUGAAAAGCUCGGGGAUGACUUGUGGGUAGCGGUGAAAUUCCAAUCGAGCCCGGAGAUAGCUGGUUCUCCCCGAAAUAGCUUUAGGGCUAGCCUCAAGGUGAGAGAUACGGAGGUAGAGCACUGAAUGUCCUAGGGGGUAUUGCACCUACCGAAGACUAUCAAACUCCGAAUGCCGUCAUCUUAUACUUGGGAGUCAGACUGUGGGUGAUAAGAUUCAUAGUCGAAAGGGCAACAGCCCAGAUCGUCAGCUAAGGUCCCUAAAUGUAAGUUAAGUGGUAAAGGAUGUGGGAUUGCACAGACAACCAGGAUGUUGGCUUAGAAGCAGCCACUCAUUCAAAGAGUGCGUAAUAGCUCACUGGUCGAGUGAUCCUGCGCCGAAGAUUUCCGGGGCUAAAACUUACUACCGAAGCUACGGCAUCAGUAAUGAUGGGUAGGGGAGCUUCCCAUACGGGUUGAAGCAUGACCGUAAGGACAUGUGGACAGUAUGGGAGUGAGAAUGUUGGCAUGAGUAGCGAGAUGUGGGUGAGAAUCCCACAGGCCGUAAACCCAAGGUUUCCAGGGGAAGGUUCGUCCGCCCUGGGUUAGUCGGGACCUAAGCUGAGGCCGAAAGGCGUAGGUGAUGGACAACAGGUUGAUAUUCCUGUAC